GAUGAACGCUGGCGGCGUGCCUAAUACAUGCAAGUCGAGCGAACAGACGAGGAGCUUGCUCCUCUGACGUUAGCGGCGGACGGGUGAGUAACACGUGGAUAACCUACCUAUAAGACUGGGAUAACUUCGGGAAACCGGAGCUAAUACCGGAUAAUAUAUUGAACCGCAUGGUUCAAUAGUGAAAGACGGUUUUGCUGUCACUUAUAGAUGGAUCCGCGCCGCAUUAGCUAGUUGGUAAGGUAACGGCUUACCAAGGCAACGAUGCGUAGCCGACCUGAGAGGGUGAUCGGCCACACUGGAACUGAGACACGGUCCAGACUCCUACGGGAGGCAGCAGUAGGGAAUCUUCCGAAAUGGGCGAAAGCCUGACGGAGCAACGUCGCGUGAGUGAUGAAGGUCUUCGGAUCGUAAAACUCUGUUAUUAGGGAAGAACAAAUGUGUAAGUAACUAUGCACGUCUUGACGGUACCUAAUCAGAAAGCCACGGCUAACUACGUG
rnacentral:rRNA from 1 species